rnacentral:rRNA from 1 species
GUGGGGAAUCUUAGACAAUGGGGGAAACCCUGAUCUAGCCAUGCCGCGUGAGCGAUGAAGGCCUUAGGGUUGUAAAGCUCUUUCAGCUGGGAAGAUAAUGACGGUACCAGCAGAAGAAGCCCCGGCUAACUCCGUGCCAGCAGCCGCGGUAAUACGGAGGGGGCUAGCGUUGUUCGGAAUUACUGGGCGUAAAGCGCACGUAGGCGGAUUGGAAAGUUGGGGGUGAAAUCCCGGGGCUCAACCCCGGAACUGCCUUCAAAACUCCCAGUCUUGAGUUCGAGAGAGGUGAGUGGAAUUCCGAGUGUAGAGGUGAAAUUCGUAGAUAUUCGGAGGAACACCAGUGGCGAAGGCGGCUCACUGGCUCGAUACUGACGCUGAGGUGCGAAAGCGUGGGGAGCAAACAGGAUUAGAUACCCGAGUAGUCC